rnacentral:misc_RNA from 1 species
UUUCCGUAGGUGAACCUGCGGAAGGAUCAUUAAUGAGUUGUCAUGGGGUUCGAUGCUGGCAGCCAGUCUUUGGAUGCAUGUGCUUGCCCUAACAAUCAUCUUCUUCCAAACACCUGUGCACAUUUUUGAGGGAGUCUUGAGUUGGUUGCCGCUCUUGGGUGAUUUUCUCACAUUCCCUUAAAUCAUUAUACGCUAUUAACAAUGUUGAACGUGCUCUGUGCCGCAAGGCCAUUAAUAUUAUACAACUUUUAACAACGGAUCUCUUGGCUCUC